rnacentral:rRNA from 1 species
UACGUAGGGUGCGAGCGUUAAUCGGAAUUACUGGGCGUAAAGCGUGCGCAGGCGGUUUUGUAAGCCAGAUGUGAAAUCCCCGGCUUAACCUGGGAAUGGCAUUUGGGACUGCAAGGCUUGAGUGCGGCAGAGGAGACUGGAAUUCCUGGUGUAGCAGUGAAAUGCGUAGAUAUCAGGAGGAACACCGAUGGCGAAGGCAGGUCUCGUGGGCUGACACUGACGCUCAUG